GACGAACGCUGGCGGCGUGCUUAACACAUGCAAGUCGAACGGAAAGGCCCUGCUUUUGUGGGGUGCUCGAGUGGCGAACGGGUGAGUAACACGUGAGUAACCUGCCCUUGACUUUGGGAUAACUUCAGGAAACUGGGGCUAAUACCGGAUAGGAGCUCCUGCUGCAUGGUGGGGGUUGGAAAGUUUCGGCGGUUGGGGAUGGACUCGCGGCUUAUCAGCUUGUUGGUGGGGUAGUGGCUUACCAAGGCUUUGACGGGUAGCCGGCCUGAGAGGGUGACCGGCCACAUUGGGCCUGCGCUACGGCCCAGACUCCUACGGGGGGCAGCAGUGGGGAAUAUUGCACAAUGGGCGGACGCCUGAUGCAGCAACGCCGCGUGCGGGAUGACGGCCUUCGGGUUGUAAACCGCUUUCGCCUGUGACGAAGCGUGAGUGACGGUAAUGGGUAAAGAAGCACCGGCUAACUACGUG
rnacentral:rRNA from 1 species